UACGGAGGGUGCAAGCGUUAAUCGGAAUUACUGGGCGUAAAGCGUGCGUAGGUGGUUCGUUAAGUCCGUUGUGAAAGCCCCGAGCUCAACUUGGGAAUUGCAGUGGAUACUGGCGAGCUGGAGUGCGGUAGAGGAAGGUGGAAUUCCCGGUGUAGCGGUGAAAUGCGUAGAGAUCGGGAGGAACACCAGUGGCGAAGGCGGCGAUCUGGGUAGAUACUGACGCUGAGGUGCGAAAGCGUGGGGAGCAAACAGG
rnacentral:rRNA from 1 species